AGCUGUUCCCCUCUGGAGGUUAUUGACCUUCACACUUUCAUGGGCCGCGGUUUCCGCUGGCCCAUUUUUUUGUCUCCC
rnacentral:sRNA from 1 species